CCUACGGGUGGCAGCAGUGGGGAAUAUUGGGCAAUGGGCGCAAGCCUGACCCAGCAACGCCGCGUGAAGGAAGAAGGCUUUCGGGUUGUAAACUUCUUUUCUGAGGGACGAAGAAAGUGACGGUACCUCAGGAAUAAGCCACGGCUAACUACGUGCCAGCAGCCGCGGUAAUACGUAGGUGGCAAGCUUUAUCCGGAUUUAUUGGGUGUAAAGGGUGUGUAGGCGGGAUAGCAAGUCAGAUGUGAAAACUCAGGGCUCAACCCUGAACCUGCAUUUGAAACUGUUUUUCUUGAGUGCUGGAGAGGCAAUCGGAAUUCGGUGUGUAGCGGUGAAAUGCGUAGAUAGACGGAGGAACACCAGUGGCGAAGGCGGAUUGCUGGACAGUAACUGACGCUGAGGCGCGAAAGCGUGGGGAGCAAACAGGAUUAGAUACCCGAGUAGUC
rnacentral:rRNA from 1 species